rnacentral:rRNA from 1 species
GACGAACGCUGGCGGCGUGCCUAAUACAUGCAAGUCGAGCGAAGCGGCGGAUGGGUUAGUAACGCGUGGGUAACCUGCCCUUAAGUCUUGGAUACCAUUUGGAAACAGAUGCUAAUACCGGAUACUAAAGGAUGGACCUGCGAUGCAUUAGCUAGUUGGUAAGGUAACGGGUUAACAAGGCGAUGAUGCAUAGCCGAGUGGAGAGGCUGACCAGCCACACUGGAACGGAGACACGGUCCAGACUCCGACGGGAGGCAGCAGUGGGGAAUAUUGCACAAUGGGCGCAAGCCUGAUGCAGCCAUGCCGCGUGUAUGAAGAAGGCCUUCGGGUUGUAAAGUACUUUCAGCGAGGAGGCGUUACUCGCAGAAGAAGCACCGGCUAACUCCGUGCCAGCCGCCGCGGUAAUUC